rnacentral:rRNA from 1 species
UACGUAGGGUCCAAGCGUUAUCCGGAAUUACUGGGCGUAAAGCGUGUGUAGGCGGGAGUUUAAGUGCAAUGCGAAAUCUUGUGGCUCAACCAUAUAGACUGUAUUGCAUACUGGACACCUUGAGGAUGGCAGAGGCAAGUGGAAUUUGUAGUGUAGCAGUGAAAUGCGUAGAUAUUACAAGGAACACCAAUGGCGAAGGCAGCUUGCUGGGCCAUAUCUGACGCUGGAGAACACGAAAGCGUGGGGAGCGAACAGG